rnacentral:rRNA from 1 species
UACGUAGGGUGCAGGCGUUAAUCGGAAUUACUGGGCGUAAAGCGUGCGCAGGCGGUUUGCUAAGACAGGUGUGAAAUCCCCGGGCUUAACCUGGGAACUGCGCUUGUUACUGGCAAGCUAGAGUGUGGCAGAGGGGGGUGGAAUUCCAGGUGUAGCAGUGAAAUGCGUAGAGAUCUGGAGGAACACCGAUGGCGAAGGCAGCCCCCUGGGCUAACACUGACGCUCAUGCACGAAAGCGUGGGGAGCAAACGGG